rnacentral:rRNA from 1 species
GCAGCUGCUUGAGUACUACGAGCGUGCGCUUAAAACUCAAAGAACUUGGCGGCUUGUUAACUACCUAGGGGAAUAUGCGCCUUAAUCCGAUGGUCCCCGUAUUAUCUUACUGCCUCUCGAAGACGAACAGCUGGUGUAUUGCCGUCGUCAGCUUGUUGUUUGAGCAAACAGAAACAAGCGCAAUGGACCUUAGCUGAUUGGUUUCAGUAGGAUCCGCGAAUUCAGGUCGAAAUGCUGCCGAAGGGGCAAGGGAGUGGGUGUUACAAUUUCUACUUGAAACGACGGAACCCGGUUGUGCAAUCUCUGGGGGAAGGCGAACUUAGGAGUAAGGGAAGAUUAAUAUGCUAUCCUGAACGUGAAUCUGACUUGCGUACAAACCGCCCGUCGCUCUCGCCGGGAGGUGAGAUAAGUCGUAACAG